rnacentral:tRNA from 1 species
GGGGAGAUGCCAGAGAGGUCGAAUGGGGCCGCCUGCUAAGCGGUUAAGCGGGAAUUAACUCGCUUCUAGGGUUCGAAUCCCUAUCUCCCCG